GACUGUUGGAGGACUGAGGUGUACAAGCAUCAUCAGAUACCAGGAGGAAGGUCCUAUGGAUCUGCAGGUGUCAUUUUUGGGGGAGUUCUCCUCCUCUCUUGCCCUGGAACAGGGUAGCACAGCCCCUGAGAUUUCCCUCCUCAGUCUCCACGGAUGAAGUGACCAAACUGCAUGCAGGAUUGGUGGUGAAGGAAAGAAAGAUAUUUCUGUGAAAUAGCGAUGUACUCUGCAAGCAUUCUGGUAUUGAUUUCACUGAGGGUUCAUCCAGAGAACACUUCUGGCUUCUCCACUAGUCAGGACUGAGCUCAGCAUUGACUUUAAACUAUAUUUGUAGAUUGUCAUGGAAGUAAAUAUUCCACUGUGUGAAAACGAUCGGUUUUACUGGGGUUUCUAGUAACAACUCAGUGACUUGUUACUUGUUUUAGCCUUAUUGCUUCAGUGGAAACCCAGAUUCUUAUUAACCCUCCUCUUGUCAUUAUUUUCUAUAAAAUUUAUUUAUUGUCCUAGCA